AAUAAAUGCAGUUUUGCACCGCUCAUGUCUAAGUUUUAUUUGAAGUUUUAUUAUUAUUAGUACUUUUAUUGUUAGUAGAUGAUAAAAUAUUAAUAAUACUUUACGUGUGACUAGUUUUUUUUAAAAAAAAAUUCAUAAAUUUUUUAAAUAAAACGGACGUCAAAUGCUAGAUACGGAUUACCACGGCUACAUUUAUU
rnacentral:pre_miRNA from 1 species